AUUGAACGCUGGCGGCAGGCUUAACACAUGCAAGUCGAACGAGUGGCGGACGGGUGAGUAAUGCUUGGGAAUCUAGCUUAUGGAGGGGGAUAACUACGGGUAACUGUAGCUAAUACCGCGUACCAUAGGAUGAGCCCCAGGGGGAUUAGGUAGUUUGUGAGGUAAAGGCUCACCAAGCCGACGAUCUCUAGCUGGUCUGAGAGGAUGACCAGGCAACCUGGGACUGAGACACGGCCCAGACUCAGACGGGAGGCAGCAGGGGGGAAUAUGGCGCAAUGGGGGCAACCUGACGAAGCCAUGCCGCGUGAAUGAAGAAGGCCUUCGGGUUGUAAAGUUCUUUCGGUAGCGAGGCGUUAACUACAGAAGAAGCACCGGCUAACGCCGUGCCAGCAGCCGCGGUAAUUC
rnacentral:rRNA from 1 species